CCUACGGGAGGCAGCAGUGGGGGAUAUUGCACAAUGGGGGAAACCCUGAUGCAGCAACGCCGCGUGAAGGAAGAAGGUCUUCGGAUUGUAAACUUCUGUCCUCAGGGAAGAUAAUGACGGUACCUGAGGAGGAAGCUCCGGCUAACUACGUGCCAGCAGCCGCGGUAAUACGUAGGGAGCGAGCGUUGUCCGGAUUUACUGGGUGUAAAGGGUGCGUAGGCGGAUCUGCAAGUCAGUAGUGAAAUCCCAGGGCUUAACCCUGGAACUGCUAUUGAAACUGUGGGUCUUGAGUGAGGUAGAGGCAGGCGGAAUUCCCGGUGUAGUGGUGAAAUGCGUAGAGAUCGGGAGGAACACCAGUGGCGAAGGCGG
rnacentral:rRNA from 1 species